GAUGAACGCUAGCUACAGGCUUAACACAUGCAAGUCGAGGGGCAGCACUAGGUAGCAAUACUGAGGUGGCGACCGGCGCACGGGUGCGUAACGCGUAUCCAACCUUCCCGUUACUCUUGGGAUAGCCUUCCGAAAGGGAGAUUAAUACAAGAUGGUAUUCAAAUUCCGCAUGUUAUUUGAAUUAAAGAUUUAUCGGUAACGGAUGGGGAUGCGUGACAUUAGAUAGUAGGCGGGGUAACGGCCCACCUAGUCUACGAUGUCUAGGGGGUUCUGAGAGGAAGGCCCCCCACACUGGAACUGAGACACGGUCCAGACUCCUACGGGAGGCAGCAGUGAGGAAUAUUGGUCAAUGGUCGGAAGACUGAACCAGCCAAGUAGCGUGAAGGAUGAAGGUUCUAUGGAUUGUAAACUUCUUUUAUACGGGAAUAAAACCUCCCACGUGUGGGAGCUUGUAUGUACCGUAUGAAUAAGCAUCGGCUAACUCCGUG
rnacentral:rRNA from 1 species